rnacentral:rRNA from 1 species
AUUGAACGCUGGCGGCAGGCCUAACACAUGCAAGUCGAGCGUGAAAGCCUUCGGGUGAGUAAAGCGGCGGACGGGUGAGUAACGCGUGGGAAUCUGCCCGGUAGCGGGGACAAGCAGUCGGAAACGACUGCUAAUACCGCAUACGCCCUGAGGGGAAAGGCAGGGGAGUCUUCGGACCUUGCACUAUCGGAUGAGCCCGCGUCAGAUUAGCUGGUUGGUAGGGUAAUGGCCUACCAAGGCAACGAUCUGUAACUGGUCUGAGAGGAUGAUCAGUCACACUGGAACUGAGACACGGUCCAGACUCCUACGGGAGGCAGCAGUGGGGAAUAUUGCACAAUGGGGGAAGCCCAUCGAUGCAGCCAUGCCGCGUGUGUGAAGAGGCCUCGGGUUGUAAAGCACUUUAAGCAGUGAGGAAGGGUUGAACGCUAAUAUCGUUCAAUAUUGACGUUAGCUGCAGAACAAGCACCGGCUAACUCCGUGCCAGCAGCCGCGGUAAUACGGAGGGUGCAAGCGUUAAUCGGAAUUACUGGACGCGUAAAGCGCGCGUAGGCGGUAAUCCAAGCUGGGUGUGAAAAG